ACAUUCUCGGAAUACAUUACUGAAGAAUCGAAUACCAACACUUUUAUAAUACACACCUUUGUGUUAUUAAGAACGACAUACAAGUUUUCCUGUUCUUAGAUUCUACGGGAAAACCUCGUGUCGUGCCUUGUGACGCACGCAAGGUAGCCGAAUAUUCGCUCGACAAUGCAGACUUUGGUCGUUUCAAGUUCUUCUGAAUCCGGCAUGACGAUGACCAGAUCCUUAUGGUUUUUGUUGGAAUAUUUACUAAACAGCAACAUAUCUUUUUAUCUAAAAAAUUAAUGUACUGAGAAUAAAUGCACAACGUUAUAUCUGUCACUGCAGAAUAACGAAAGAGAAAGUUUUUGUUUAGGCUAUGGCCUACCCUCUGUUACGUUCCCGUUCUAAAUUUCCUUAUUUGGAGUCGGAUGUGCGCACCCGGUAUUCUUCGCGUAGGCAUAGGAAUUCGAGACCAACGCGAAGCUAGGGCGUAGUCCCUCGGAAAUCUCGGAAUCGUGCAAUGUACUUUCCCGCCACCCCUUGGCCUAUGAUUUUUGGGUAUAAAAAGGGUGACGACGAAGGCAUAUCGGGUCUAGACAAAGUCUAGAAAGGGUUCUGUACACGUCUGUGCGUGCUCUUACGAUAUUUCUACACGAGGAAACUUAGUGAGAUCGGUUCAAGUCCCCUUCGAGCAAAAUCUUAACCAUACAGUACGUAGUCUACUGUUAGGCAUUAUUUUGUCGUUGUAGUCGUCCCCCGUUUGCUCGCGUUCGUGAAAACCGAGAAGGAUUAGAUUCUAGCUUCGCGGAAUCGAAACUAUAUUUUAAACUCAGUUCAUAUUUGUAACAUAACUUACCAUUAGUACACCGCGACAAUUACCCUUAUAACAAUUGUAAGUCCCGGUGCAUAUCAGAAUAUAUGUAUAAUCAUUUUUAAUUAGUGUUGAUCAAUAAUACCAAGUCCAGUAUCCACUAAGGUGUACCUUUGCCGCUCGAGGUACAUCAAAAAACUGUUACGAGGCCUAAUACUAACAUUUCCUGCGGCUCCCCACGUUAGCCAUACGUGGGUUCGUCUCCGCGUCUACUUCCUCAAGGCAUCUAGUGCCACCCUAACAACACUGGUCAAGCCAUUAACAAAAAAACCAUAUUCCAAUAGAAAAGCCCCGGCUACGCAGCCGCCCCCUCCGGCUCGUAACACCUCUCAAGUUCCUAAAAGGACCCUUCCUGUAGGUUAUCUAGUUUACAAAAUAAAAAAAUAAAAUGUACAUUCAAUGCCACAAUUUUGUUCUUAUGUAUUUUGGCCUACUAAACUCGAAAAUCGCAAGACAAAUUUUUUCUAUGCAUAGGUUUUUUUUAUAUGAAUUUUUGAAUUUUUUUCGAUUUUUUUCUGACAUACCUUCACAUUUUAGACCAUAUCUCGAGUUAGAAAUGUCCGAUUGGGUCACGCUAGACGCCAUUUUAAAGGUAAUCGAAUUUCCAAUAAUUGUUUUUCACAAUAUUUUCCAAUCGGUUCAAUAGUCUAAGUGUUACGAGCCAGUAUUUAUGAGAAACUUUGAUUUUUUCGGCUAAAAUAGAACACGACUAUUUCCUCCAUCGCCAUGGAAAAAUAGAAUUGUCAAAUGAUGUCCAAUUUCUUAUUGUCUACGUAUAGAUCGCACUUUUAUGAAGAAAACAAGC